AUGCUUAUGUGGAUUUAAUCACUCUUUAUCUUAAAAUUACUUUGCAGAUGGAGAAGUAGAUAGCUUCAGAUUAGUUCCUGUAGGUCACGUCGCAAAUAUUAUUCGGAGGACUGAAUUCUUCAAGCCGAAUUGCUCCAUUGUAAUUAUUGAUUUUCUCUUUCGUCAUGGGUACAUUUCUCCUGAUGAUCAUGGUUAUUUGGAGCUGCUGCAGAGUUUAAGGAGUGGUGAUUGGUCCUGAUCCAAUUGUUUUGUUGUCAAGAUGAGUUAGAAUUUACCAUGUUUGAGUCUAUCACUUAGUGGUGUUUGUUUGAUUAUGUAUACAUUUCAUUCAAAAAAGAUUGUGCACGCACAAUCAUAAAUUAGUCAUCGGGGAAUCUGUAGUCCUGGACCACCAGCAAACAAUAGAGUUAUACCAUAAAUAUUUGAAUAACUACCUUGGGCA